GUUCAGGAGGGAGAGGAGAGGCCCCUGGAAUCACACAGUGUUUAUUUGCCACUCUUGUACUAUGAGACAGAGGGGAAAACAAUGACAACCAAACAGUAAACUUCACUCCCAGCAAACAGAAACGGUUGCCAAGGCAACUGAGCAACAGAGUCCCUGCAUCCAGCUAUCACAGUGUGAAGUGAGUUUCAGAUGAGGAGAUGGCUUAAGGGACAAGGAGCCCCUUCAGGAAAAGGCUGACCUAAUAAAAGAACCCACGAAUUG